GCAAAUAAAACCUAAAAUUAAUUCUAAUUAUUUUUUUUCAUAAUUAGCACGUGCUUCACACGUACUGUCCUAGCUAGUAUAUAUAUUAUCUUGGAGUGUUAUUUGUGUUGUGCGCAAUCCAGUUUUACAGAAAAUCAUGCGAAAGGAAUCAGUCCCAACUGUUUUACCCUCAAUAGAAUGCCUUAGCCCAAAAGUGUAAAAAGGCCCUUGACACUCACAUACCCACGUAGAUAAGCAUUAGUACAAUAGCCUGAAAGGUUACGGUUUGUUUGGAUCAAGCAAAUGGAAAGAAUGAAUUAAAUAUUUUUAGGAAGCCAGUAGUAUGGAGGGUGUUUGGUUUGAUGGCAUGUUUGUAAUUAAUUACAAGUGUGUAGAGCCCAAGUCAGUGACUUGUCAAAUCCAAGCUCAGUGCCGUUGGAAGCUUUUUCUUCUUUGAGUUUACCUCCAGUUUCACAAGUUCUCUUAACUACAUACACCCACCUCUUCCUCUAAUUUUUCUAUAAAAUCCUCUAGAGCAAUUUCAACGCACUCUUCGGUCUAUUCAUCAGAGCCAACUUCCCCUUUCGACUUCUUUUCACUUUCACUCUCCAGGAUUCUCUGUACCCACAGUCUCUUCAUAAACGUUGUCCUUCUCCCCCAAAGUCAAAGUCCUAAUUCACUCUCACAGCCCAGCUACACCCUUACCCUUUACAUAUGAAGCUCGCAGAGAAUGCACCAUCUUCAUCAUCCUCCUCCAACGAUGUUCCUACACCUAAGUUACUUAUUAGAUGGCAUCCUCCUCUGCGUUUCGGAAGUUAUGAAACUGUUGAAACGGUGCUCGUUGACUUUUUGUUGGAAAAAGAAGUUGAAGGGAACAUUUAUAAUGAGAACGUGAAGAAAUGGUCAGUUCUUAUAACGAGAACGUGAAGAAAUGGUCAGGUUUCUGUAACAAGGAUCUGGACAAUUAUGAGUUGUUUAAAUAUAUCGUCGGCUCAACAUAUAAGUGCAGAUGAUGUGGAUGAGUAAGGCAGCAACCCCAAAGGAAAGUAGUUAGCUCAUUUUGGCAGUUUGUCCGGAAAGUAGAGGAAAUCAGUGUCUUUUGUUCCUGACAGUCGAAAAAAAAUGUAUAAUUUAUUCAAGUUCUUAAUUCUUUAUUAGUGGCCAAGGUUACAGAAAUUUUGUAGAAUUUGAUAAAAAAAUAUUUUUUUUAAGAUCAUUGAAAAAUGAGAUAACCCUGAAUGGAGGGAAGUAUUCUGUAAUCUUCAAUUAGAGAUUAGAUUGGAUCAAAUAUAUUCACUAGUUUA